GGGAAGGGGGAUUGAGAGGCCUUGAUAUCUGUAAGCAUUUUCUUAAUGUUUCGGUUAUGUGGAGUCUUUUUGUUGCUGCUCUUUGUUUAUUCCAACUGGUGUGCAAGCCUGCACAGGGAUUGCUUCUCCAAUGCAAUCUAUCAUUACUUUUCCCCCCAUUUUAAGGACAUUUCAGAUAAGAUUUUCACUCCUUUUUGUUGCUCUUAGUAGGGUUGAGUGGAUGAGUGCUUUUGAAGAUUUUACAUAAGAAAUGUUAUGUGCAUUGGCUGCAAAAGGUAUUUCGAAAAACUAUUCAUCGCAUGGUAGUAUUAGCACUGUAAAAGCCAUCAUAUAAUAUCUCUUAAUAAGCAAUAUGAUGUGAAACAAGUUAGCUUAAAUCUAGGAAAUGGAAAACUAAUUAACUGGCUGAUGUUUGUUUCAAGACUAAUUAACAGGAUUUGGAUUUUCAGGGAACCUCCCAAACGGCCCUUUUCCCCAUUGGGCACAUUCUGUUUGGCUUUUAUAGGGGCCAUGCGUUUGUUUGUGUACUGACUACUGAGGCUGGUUGAAAU
rnacentral:lncRNA from 1 species